GAUGAACGCUGGAGGCGUGCCUAAUACAUGCAAGUCGAGCGAACAGACGAGGAGCUUGCUCCUCUGACGUUAGCGGCGGACGGGUGAGUAACACGUGGAUAACCUACCUAUAAGACUGGGAUAACUUCGGGAAACCGGAGCUAAUACCGGAUAAUAUAUUGAACCGCAUGGUUCAAUAGUGAAAGACGGUUUUGCUGUCACUUAUAGAUGGAUCCGCGCCGCAUUAGCUAGUUGGUAAGGUAACGGCUUACCAAGGCGACGAUGCGUAGCCGACCUGAGAGGGUGAUCGGCCACACUGGAACUGAGACACGGUCCAGACUCCUACGGGAGGCAGCAGUAGGGAAUCUUCCGCAAUGGGCGAAAGCCUGACGGAGCAACGCCGCGUGAGUGAUGAAGGUCUUCGGAUCGUAAAACUCUGUUAUUAGGGAAGAACAAAUGUGUAAGUAACUAUGCACGUCUUGACGGUACCUAAUCAGAAAGCCACGGCUAACUACGUG
rnacentral:rRNA from 1 species